rnacentral:rRNA from 1 species
UACGGGGGGGCAAGCGUUGUUCGGAAUUACUGGGCGUAAAGGGCUCGUAGGCGGCCAACUAAGUCAGACGUGAAAUCCCUCGGCUUGAACCGGGGAACUGCGUCUGAUACUGGAUGGCUUGAAUCCGGGAGAGGGAGUGCGGAAUUCCAGGUGUAGCGGUGAAAUGCGUAGAUAUCUGGAGGAACACCGGUGGCGAAGGCGGCAUCCUGGACCGGCAUUGACGCUGAGGAGCGAAAGCCAGGGGAGCAAAGCGGG